AGGGAGAGGGAAAGCGAGAGAAGGAAAGUGAGAGGGCAGGAGGGAAGAGAGAGAGAGCGAGAGAAGGAAGCGAGAGGGAGGGAGAGGGCAGAGUGGACUUAUGGCUCUGGCAAAUUUGGGGCCUUUUUUCAGAGCCGUUCAGAGAGUCAAAUUAUUGGACUGACAGCCCAUCCCUUUGGUGAAGGUGAAAAUAAGAAAAUGAAAAGGGCCAUGUGGUGAGAGAGGGAUGCAGCUUGAACCCCAACAUCUUCAACAUACUGUCACGAAUCCCGCCGAAGAUGGUGCCUCUUCCUGUUCGGGUGGCGCUCGGCGGUCGUCGUCGCCGGCCUACUAGCUGCCACCGAUCCCCUUUUCUGUUUCAUUUAGUUGUGUCUGAUUAGUUGCACCUGUUUUGUGUUUAGGUUGUGAUUGUGGGCUAUUUAAACCCAGUAAGCCCGUGGGCUUGUUUCUCUGUUGUUUUGUGGAUGUGAUAUUUUCUGUAUUUCUCCGGACUGUUUGUGUCCUGUUGUUGGGCCGGUCAUUGUAUGCGCCUGGUGUUUUGGCGUGACCUACUUUUCUCCGGAAUAAAUACAGUUAUCCUUUA